CUGGAGGGAGCGUGGUUCCUGGGAGGUAAGGCUUGUUUGUGCCCUGAAGUGUCUGGCAAUUACCAGAUGAGGAACAAAAUACCCUUUUCUAUGAAGUGCUAGGUGACAGAGCCGAUAGUAUUUGAUUUUUCAGCCAGUGGUUUGGUCUCACCUAGGCACAACAAAUGGACUUAUCUUGACUGUCUUUGGAAGUCUCUUCUCUUCCAGGCUUCUGUCUCAGCAGCACCGCUUAGGUUGUGGUGAUGCACAGCUCCUCAAAGUGUGGUAUUUAUUGGAGACAGCUGUCAAACAGCAGGAGGUCACUGCUUUUUCAUUAACACUUCAUCUUUAGACUGCUGAUUGACUGGAUCUUCUCGAGGCUUUGAAGAAGAUAAUAAAUAGCAUGUUUUCACUGCUGA